rnacentral:lncRNA from 1 species
GGACCCCAGCAGUGCUUGGGAGAUCAGAGCAUCCGUGGAGAGGAGCUGAGGAGGGGGCUCCAGUGCCAGGUACGGGCUGGGGCAGUGCUUCACCUAAUCGCAGCCAGACCGGGAGACAGCGCGCAGCCUCCCCCGCCGCGGCCCAGCGAGGCACCAGGGGCCGCGGUGACGGGGACGGCCGCUCUUCCCGUGCCCCAGGCUGGCCAACAAGCAAGACGCGGCGGCCGCGCUGCUGCCCUGCGAGCUGAUCGAGCGGCUGUGCCUGGAGCGGCUGGUCAACGAGAACCGCUCUCCCUGUCGCAUCGUGAGUGCGGGGCUGGCUCCGCUCCCCGCUCCCCGCUCCCCGUGCCCGCGGGGCUGCCGCCGCCGCUCGGCGCUCCCCGCGCUGAUCCCCCGCCCGCCCGCAGGAGCCCUGUGUCGCCAAGCGGGUCCCCCCCGCCGGCCCGGCCCGCGCCACCCUGCAGGGGCUGCGCUGGCUCCUCCGCGCCGCCGCCGCCGCCCCGGCCCUGCCGGCCGCUGCCCCGGUACCUCCCGCCCCGAGGGCCGCCCGAGCCGGCCCGCCCGCCCGCAGGUGGGUGCGGGGCUCCGCGGGCGCCUGUCCCCGUCCCCAUCCUCCCCCCGCAGCGCUCGUUCUCACCCUGCUGGGCUCUCUCCCCCAGGGACCGGCCGUCCCCCGGGGAAGAGGGCGCGGGGAAGAACGGGGAGCACCGGGCAGCGCGCCCCGUCUGCCGCCUCCUGCCCCUGGAGGAAAGCACUAAGGGCCCCAGGAGGAGGAAGAGGAAGGUGAAGAAGAAGGGCUUGGGGCAGCCAAGCCCAGCCGACGAGCUGGAGGGACCGGGAGUAGGGGGUGACAGCCGUGCAGGGGCUGCCGGGGGGCUGCUGCUCCCCAACAGGGUCGGGCAGGAGGAGCCCGUACCCACCAGGAUGGCCACCCCCCACUCAGCACAGGGCAUGAAAAAGAAAAAAAAGAAGAAAAUCAAGAACAAAAUCAAGUCACAGGAACCUUCUCUGGAACAGCAGCAUGAGGAGGCCUCAAGCACCUUUGAUUUGUACCGCCGGGCGAUGCUGGCUCUGAAGAUGAGGCAGGAGCAGAGGAAGCAGACUUCGGCCAUCACCCCCUGAGCAGGGGAGGCACAAAGCAAGGUGUGUGUGCUCCUAGAGGACCCAGACUGCAGUGGCAGCGGGACCCACGCUCAUGCAGAGCUGCUGGGGUGCUUGGCCACGGCUGGCAGAGCGGGGAAAUGGGUCCUGGGGCAUAAACAGCACCAUUGUCCCCUGCAUGGCUUGAAAACCAGGGAUCCACAGGAGUGAGCCAAAAGUCCCUUUGUAAGAUGCCUCUCUGGCAGCCGGGCUGCAAAUUCAUCUGAAAAGGGAACAGCCGGCCCCUUGCUGCCCCCUGUUAGUAUUCUGUGGAAGACUCCGCUUAAACCCGGAUAAGUCUGUGGAGGAGAGGAAGAUCCGAGCAAACAUCCCAGGGGGAAAGCCUGUCUCUUGAAUUGCCCUAUGCCCUGGGAAAGCUGUCUUGGCAGGUCAGGGGCUGACCUGGCCCGUCAGUCACUCCCUGGCUACUGCCUGGAACAGUCUCAUUUCCUGAUGGUGAAAGUGGGAGAGCAGUCCCAGGUGGUCUGCAGAAGAGCUCCGCCCAACCCUCAGCCACAUCUGGCAGGGCUGUCAGGACUCUCUUCACACCCUGGAGGAGGGCAAUACCCGCGUUUGUGCAUCCUGCAGCCCGUCAGUGAAAAUUUAAGUUCAAUGGCAGCUGGUGGCAGAGGCUGCUGGAGGCUCCUUCCCCAGGAUCGUUCCUCCUGAUCCUGCCAUCCCUCCAGGAGAGACAUUGCAGCAAAUCUUCCCGCGUCACUGGCAGCCCGGCACUCUGCUGCCCCGGGUGGUCCCUGAUGUGUGCUCGGCUCAGCUCUGAGACGGGACAAGCAGCAGCGCAUCGCGUCCCGACACAACCCGCCUGUGACGGGCCGUGUCCGUCCGACUGUGCUGUCCCGGGCCCGAGCCGGGCCGGGGACUCGUGCUGCCCGGCUCUGGCAGGGUGCCUGGGCCGGGAAACCAGCCCUCAGCCCUGGAAACACCUUACGUGGAGCCGGGAACUGGGGUAACACCUGCAACAGUGUUAGAAUGUGAACUUGCGUUAGUCACCUCUGCUCCCGUGGUGGUUAGUGAUUAACAGGCACUGCCUCUGUGGUCCGGGGAAAGGCAAAUCACUAAAGCCCUUCCCUUGGCAGGGCUGAAAAGGGAGAAGAAGAGAAACCGUCUACUUUGCCUUGCCAGCCUGCCAUAAAGUUCUGUCGAACUCUGCCAGAUUCAACUGUUGGUGACUACAGGGAUUAUUUGUAAAUAAAUUGUAAAUAACAACAGCAGAAGUUAAUACUGCCCUGUAAAUACAGCGGUUCCAGCAGCCCCUUGUCUCAGCCUGGUGGAGUUCCCUGCGAUGUGGGUGCUGGGGGGUAGAGGGUAAAGUGGGGACCUGUGCUGUGAUGGAGCCUCUUCUCCUGGGAUGGGUGUCCCUGGGGGUCGUGUCCAGGCUGCCAGCCACGUUCCUUCUGCUGGGGUCCCAGAUCUCCACAGCAUCAUAGGGAGAGAAACAUUAAAAUGUAUCCCCUCUAACACCCACUUCUCACACAGCCACUGGGUUUGGGAUGAGGCCAAGCACUCCCAUACAGCUGGGACCACGAACCAGCCCACGGCCUGCUCACUGCAGCUCCAGAACCGGGUGGGGAGCAGGAGCAGAGUGGGUUUGGGAGCAUCUGGCACGGGCGGCUGCAGCCAGCUCCCGCUGGUGCUCCCUGCAGCUCCCGACACCGCAGCUCCUUCCAGCGAGCACGGAGUGCCCCGUGUGGCACCCACAGCCAGAGAUGUCCAGCAGGACAAGUCACAAGUCCAGCGGCAGAACUGGCUGGGAAACUUUCCUUGGAGCCAGCUGUAAGAAACCUGUCAGGUUGACCUAACACCUUUUCCCAGAUAUAAUGAUCUCCAGCCUGUGGUGCAGACAAGCAGUGAAAACGUAUUUCAAAAUCAACGCCCCUUACCCUGGUGUUUCCAUGGGUGUAGAGCACCUAAUCCCAGGAGAUAAUCCUGGUCUGCAUCAAAAAGGAAUACAACUUUCAUCUUCUUUAGAAGGUGAGCAGCAACAACUCUACAUUAAAAAUGGUGUAUCUCAAAGCAUCUCAGAAAAAUCUCAAAAAUGAGAUCUUGAGAUCUAUGUGACCAAAGAUAAAUCAAAAUAUAUUAAUUAAUGGUUAAUCUGUGCCACUGGAUAAUGGGCUGGGCUGCUCCUGGCACAUGUGAGAAGCAGUGGCUGUAGCAGGGGGUGCAUGCCUGGGGCAAGCACGGUGGGCAGGGCCUCUUUUUCCAUAUUUCUCCUUUUAUUUAUCUUACAUCCCAAUAGCUGAAUAACCGGCUAGGGCAGGAGGUGUCUGGGAGGCAUGGUCCUGGUGGCACUGCCUGCUGCUGGGGGUGAGGUAGGGCCCUGCCCAGGCUGGUCCUGGCGUGUCUGAUCUGCACCGAGGCCAGGCGUGGAGCCCAGCAGCAGGGCGUGGCAUGAGCAGACACCCCCAAAAAUGAGAUGGUGCUGAGUGGUACCCCCCCAUGAAUGCUGGGUUUGCUGAAAAGUGCUGGAGUGCCAAAUGUGCUGAGAAGCAGGAAGCAGUGCCUCAGCAACUGCUGUGGAGAGACACACAUUUUAUCUCUUGUGGAGAGUAUCAACAGCAUUUUCUACAGGGAGCUGGCUGGGUGGCACAACCCUGCUUUGCAUUGCUGCACUUGGAAUUAUCUAGCAUACCCUUCUUUUCCGGCUUCCAGAGGAGCUGACUCAGGAGGGUCAGGGUAGGCAAAACAUGGUGCCUGGUCCCACCAGCACUGUCGUGGUACCACAGCCUGGGCUGGGGCUGCCUUGUUGGAAACUGGCGUGUGAGUCUGCAUUUCUACAGCUCUUGAUUUUGCUCAUUCAGAGACCCACAUCUGCCAGCAGGGUCACCAGCAGCUCUCUCCACAGCCUGUGUCCUUCUGAGCCUAAAAGAUGGAGAGAAGGAGAGAUGGAGGGAGUGAGUCUGCACCCGGCUGAGCUUUGCAGAAGUCGAUGUCUGUUUGUAUGCUGCCAGGAGGAGAUGAAGAGAUGUUUGAGCAAAUGCCUGUGGGAAUACACCUCCCACCUCCUCAUACCAGCAUUGCUUUGCACAAUUGGAUUCCUUCCUGAUGCUUGUUAUCACUAUCAAAAUUUAAAUGUGUGGGCUGAAAGUUGAAGAGUGAGACUGCUGCUCUUCUGUGAAGAGCACUGCUUGGUCACUUGUUUAAAAACACUGCCAAGUCCUCCUGUGUACAGGACAGCACCAACCUUUCCAGGCAGCAGGAAGACCUGGAGGACAGCCUGUAAGAGGGGAUCAUGUGGGGAGGCUGUCAGCUCCUCUAGUUCCACCCAUGGCCCUGCUGUGCUUUCUCCCAUGUCAUUAAAUUUCGCUUUCUGCGCACUGGCUGGGCUUAGCCAGCAACUACACUUUGUGUUAUAACCCCUCCUUGCUCCACUCUACCCCCAGAAGAGGAUGGGGAAGAUGAUGUUGACUCUGAAAUCUUCCCUGAGAGCCCUUGAUUUGUCCCAUACACAUGGGCAGGGCAGGAGGCUCCCCAAGGCAAGCUGUUGUUGAGAUGUACAGGCAUCUCUCCUGCUGUACAUCCACUGUUGUGUUUUUUCAAUAAAAACUAAACCAUGUGUUUUCCCCAUAUAUAUUGGUGUUUCCGGGGGACUGCGAACCAUCAUGGAUUUCACCACUGUUUCCAGGAUUCUGAUGGAGACACCCUUUGGCAAUCAGCCUUCCUAGCACCUGCAGUGAGGAUGCCCCGUGCUCCGAGGGGCAGGACAGGGAAGGUGAGCCUGGUCCUGGGGUGCUCCACACAUCAGGGAGCUGUGGGGCGGCAAAACCCCACAGCAGCCAGGCCUGAUGAAGGAAAGUAACUCAGAGACAGAGAUUUGUGAUGUGGGAAAAACAUGGCAGUUCUUUGACCACUCCUUCACUAACCCAAAUUGAUAGAAGAAGGAGCCAGCAAGUGGUUUUUGCGAGCAUCUCAGACACUGGAAUUUGAACACUGAUUUAGGGCAGUAAAAGGAAUUAAUUGCAAGUGAUCCAGGUUAAUGGGUGUUUUGCAAGGCAAGUGGAAUGGAUCACAUCCUGUGGGGUGCCUGCAGGUGAUUCUCAUCCCCCGCCAACCCAUCUGUAAAUCCCAGCACCUGUUCUGGGGCAUAUAAACAGCCAGGGAAAAGGCAGUGUUUCCCUGGGGUGUAGAGCCUGGGGCUUGGGCUGGUGAGG